rnacentral:tRNA from 1 species
GCCGGCUUAGCUCAAGUGGUAGACAACUGAUGUUAAUCAGUAGUUGGGGGUUCAAGUCCCUAGCCGACA